GGAAAAUGGUGUUGUCAAAUAUCCAACAACUGACCACCUGAAAGCAUGGCCGCGUCAUUUCCUGGAGAAUGAGUUCCAAGAUUUAACCAUGGUGAAUGACUACGACCCAGAUACACCUCAUGACUGUUUUGAACAGAUGAAAAUGGAAACAACACAUCUACCAACUGUGCAUGAAGACCCAUUGGUAGAUCCCGAUCUCAC